ACUUGGCGGGUGGCAUCCGUUAGUCUCUGCAUCUGGAGAAGUCAUUGAUUAAUGGAGUUAAUUGUGAGAUAGGAUAGAGUAUAUAGGCUCUGUCCGCCUGAAGUCUAAUGUUGGCAAUUGCAUCUUAGCGUAAGCUUCUAGGUGUAAUGGCUAUUCAAGAUCUGGGCAUAGCGUGAGGCUGGAAACAGAGCAACGAAAACCGGACGCAUUAAUUCAGUCAGGGGACUGCAGAGCUGUACGUCCUAGGUAGCAAAUAACUCAUUAAUCAUUUU
rfam:Smittium culicis strain GSMNP scaffold-23, whole genome shotgun sequence.